AAAAAUACUAUGAGAAGGGCAAUAAGGCGGACUCUAUGCUAGCAAAACGCCUCAAAAAUCUGACGGAAGCAAAACGAAUUUCUAAAAUUCGUACCCCAGAUGGGACACUGAGCGACACCCCACACACAAUUGGAGAAACCUUUCCGACGAUACUUCACGUCCCUAUAUAACCACACUACAGACCCACCUAGCGAUGCCAUCCAAACCCAAACUGAAAACUUCUUAAGGCAGCUGUCACUUCCCACCCUCACCGACGACGCCAGAACCCUAAUCUCAGCCGAUAUCUCCCCGGAAGAGCUAGGGGCAGCAAUCAAGACCCUGAAACCAAAUAAAAGCCCCGGCCCGGAUGGCUUGAUGGCCAUUUAUUACAAAUCCUUCGGAGACAUACUCAUCCCCAGAUUAUGCAAAGUCUUUCAUGCAAUGCUCACUGGUGAACAGCUACCCCCCGAUAUGACUCAAGCUAACAUCACCUUACUGCCAAAACCAGGAAAAUCCCACGAUGACCCAGGCCACUACUGCCCCAUCUUCCUCCUGAAUAUUGACCUAAAACUUCUGACUAAAGUCAUGACUACCAGAAUAAACCCCCUCCUACCCAAACUCAUCAACCCUGACCAGGUUGGCUUUAUCCCACAAAGACAGGCGCAAGAUAACACACAGAGAACCAUAGACCUAAUCUGGUACGCCCACCACAGACGGAUCCCAACGACAAUACUUUCCCUAGACGCCGAGAAGGCCUUUGAUCGCCUCCUCUGGCCCUACCUCUUUGCAGUACUCCGUAAAUUUGGAUUCCCAUCCGAAUUUACUCAAUUUCUACAAGCAAUGUAUCACUCGCCGACAGCGCAACUGCUAAUACUCAAC